GACAGAGGAGGCGAGCGUUAUCCGGAGUUAUUCGGCGUAAAGGGUACGUAGGCGGCUGGUCAAGUAUGGGGUUAAAGACCACAGCUUAACUGUGGGGGGGCCGUGGAAACUGACCGGCUGGAGUGGAGCAGGGGUUGCGGGAAUUCCCGGUGUAGCGGUGAAAUGCGUAGAUAUCGGGAAGAACACCUGAGGCGGAAGCGCGCAACUGGGCCCCGACUGCCGCUGAGGUACGAAAGCUAGGGGAGCGAAUGGG
rnacentral:rRNA from 1 species